rnacentral:rRNA from 1 species
AUUGAACGCUGGCGGCAUGCUUUACACAUGCAAGUCGAACGGUAACAGGCCGCAAGGUGCUGACGAGUGGCGAACGGGUGAGUAAUGCAUCGGAACGUGCCCAGUCGUGGGGGAUAACUGCUCGAAAGAGCAGCUAAUACCGCAUACGAUCUAUGGAUGAAAGCGGGGGACCGUAAGGCCUCGCGCGAUUGGAGCGGCCGAUGUCAGAUUAGGUAGUUGGUGGGGUAAAGGCUCACCAAGCCAACGAUCUGUAGCUGGUCUGAGAGGACGACCAGCCACACUGGGACUGAGGCACGGCCCAGACUCCUACGGGAGGAAGCGGUGGAGAAUUUUGGACAAUGGGGGCAACCCUGAUCCAGCAAUACCGCGUGCAGGAAGAAGGCCUUCGGGUUGUAAACUGCUUUUGUACGGAACGAAACAGUCUGGGUUAAUACCCUGGGCUAAUGACGGUACCGUAAGAAUAAGCACCGGCUAACUACGUGCCAGCCGCCGCCGUAAAAC